rnacentral:lncRNA from 1 species
GUUUUAUGUGAAGCUGCCUUCCCUAAGAAGUUGGCUUUUGCCUACCUAGAAGAUUUGCACUCAGAAUUUAUGAACAGCAUGGAAAGAAGGUGCCCACUGUGUCCCGACUCUAUUCCUUUAUUGAAUUUGAUACUUUCAUUCAGAAAACCAAGAAGCUCUACAUUGACAGUCAUGCUCGAAGAAACCUAGGCUCCAUCAACACUGAAUUGCAAGAUGUGCAGAGGAUCAUGGUGGCCAAUAUCGAAGAAGUGUUACAACGAGGAGAAGCACUCUCAGACAGCAUUGGAUUCAAAGGCUAACAAUUUGUCCAGUCUGUCCAAGAAAUACUGCCAGGAUGCGAAGUACUUGAACAUGCGUUCCACUUAUGCCAAACCUGCAGCAGUAGCUGUAUUUUUCAUCAUGUUAAUAGUGUAUGUCCGAUUCUGGUGGCUGUGAAAUAAUGAAUACAGUCACUGGUAAGGGAGAACCUAGAACCCAGUAGGUGUAUAUUUUCAGGAAACUGAGCUCACAGAGAUGUGUAUUAGAAUCCAAGUGGAACUUCUGCCUCUAAAGACCUUGCAAGAAAAGAGAUGUCCUGAAAAUGAAAGGUUGCACCUCAUUUAAUGAAGUUUAACCCUAUGUAGAAAGUCUCUUUCGGGGGCAGAGGCUUUCUCUGGGUGCCAAGCCAUAUAUAUUAGGGAAUAGUAGAUUGUUAUUUUGUUUUUUCCCUCCCAGUGCAUUUUAAAAACAGCACUGGCUGGGGCAUUCUCAUUCUCUGAUGGAGCCAUCAAUGAGAUUUAACUUAGUCAACCUGUGCUAGCAACAUUCUGAAAUUCCUUCAAAGAAGGCAGUCCUUUGGGAAGGUGUUUUUUUUGUUUUGUUUUGUUUUUUGUUUUUGACUCUAAUCAACAUUCCUUUUGUUGGUGACAUUUGUGAUUUUCAGUGAUCUGAGUUUUUGAUGGCCUUUUAAACAAGACUCCAGUAUGUGAAGGUUAAUUGCUGUGCUCCACAGAUCUUGUCUAUUGGCCCCUGUAGAAAGUUAACCUUUGUUGUUUUCCUUUUAUAAUUUGCUUAUUGCACAAUUGCUUUAGGGUAAGUGAAUUAUAUUAAGAUGCCUUGAAAUUAUAGCACUCCUUGAUUAAGAAGCUAAAAUGUUUCUCUCAUUUACUCCUUAAACAAAAGACUUAAAUUAGUUUGGGUCAUUAUUACUUUUAUUUUGCAGCAUUUGGUUUGUUAUUAGUGUAAGAGCAAGUAUAGGAUAUGGAGAGGCCCCUGGCUUCAUGAGAACAAAGGAAGGCCCAGGUUAUAAUUACAGCUUUCUCCUGCCCCUUCUUUACUUUCUCUACCACAGUUUUCUCCACUGUUUGUUUUCCUCUUGCCACAAUUUGCUAACAUUUAAAAAAUUUUCCUGCACCCAGUAGUUUCAUAUCCUGUAGACAUCCUCUUAGGACAUUCUCAAAUUUCAAAAUAA